UUUUGUUGUGAAAGUAAUGUGUAAUUUUUUAUAACAUUAUUCAUUUAUUAAUGAAUCGGCUUGUAUCAAUUUAAGCCUAGCAAAUGCGUACUCUGUUAAGAAAGUUCUACGCGCGCUUCUUCCAAUUAAUGGUCAGUUUAAUUUUUGGCUUAAUGUGUGCGUAAAUAAGCAGAAUUGUCGUUGUUGGAGUGAAGAUCAGCCAGAAACGUUGCAAAAGCUAACAAUGCAUCCAGAAGAAAGUGACAUUUUGAUGCCGUUUAUGGGCUGGUGGCAUCAUUGGACCGUACUUCUUCAAAGAUAAUGCGAAUAGUAACGUUACUGUGAAUGGUGUUUCGUUUUACAGUUAUCCUGUCACUCACCAACAGAAGGGACGUGUUUCAGCAGCAAUUUUAAAAGCCGC